rnacentral:lncRNA from 1 species
CCCGCCUUCAGUCUCCUGACGAAAUGAAAUUUGGAACAGUCCACUGUGUGUAGGGUUCUUUCCACACUUCAAAGCUCCCCUACGUCUCUCUUCCUCUCUCUAAAAACUCAGGUAAUUCUCUAUCUACAUCAAUUCACUGUAUUUUGAGCUUUCCAUUUGGAAGCUCUUCUAUGCAACAUUUAUAUGUGUAAUUGAGCACCAUUAAUCUCGAAAAUUAAUAACAAUCUUCAAUUUACUCCUUUUGGUUCACUCUUUUUUGUUUUAAUUAGUAUUUGUGUGUGUGUGUGUUUGUAAACAAUGGAAGUUUGCAUUCAGCUGAAUCUAUUAUUACUAGAUGUAUUUUACUUGUUUGGUAAUAGGGUUUUAUACUUGGGGCUCUUUGCUAAGUAGGUAUUAGGAAACUGUUAGAAAUGACGAAAGUUUUAAUCUUUUUGUAUUAUGCUGUUUUCUGUUUGUAUGAGAUAUAAAAAUUUGUUGGAGUUCAGUCUAAUUUAUAUAUGUUCAAUUGGUUGAAGGGGUUUUUGAAUUUAUGUGGAAUUGAAAUAUUUCUUGCUAAUUAUCUUAAAUUUCAAAAUAUAAAAUUCACCCAUAACAGGGAUCAAGUCAUUCUCAUUCAUUCGUGGUUUUCCGGGUGAGAAAGAUUUCUAGGCCCCAUAUACCUUGGGCCUAUAGCUCAAAUAUACCUUUUUGGUUAGGAUUUAUAUUGAAGAAAUAAGUGCCAAAUGCAGCAAUAAAACUCUUUAGUUUUCUCAUAAGUUACCUUUCAAUUUCAUUGUAACUAACAUGAUUAUGGGAGCACGUGCAGACAAAUAUAUGUUUAGGUUCCUGUGAACUAUGCUGUCCUGCAACUAAAUUAGGGCAGUUUUCCAAUCUAAUGAUGUUCUGUGAAGUACUGAAGUCUGAAGUACUUUGGCACAUAUUUUUUUUGAUGGAUUGUAACAGUUGGUGAUUACCUUGUUCAGAUAAUAUAUUUUUGUUAUAUGGUGACAGAAAAAGAAACCAUAGCAUCUUAGCUAGAAUUUUUAGUUACUAAGUUUUUCCAGAUGAGAUGUAUCUGCUAUGUGGAUAUUAAUAUGAUUCAUUGCCUGGUUAGCCAUGUGAGGAUCAUAAAUUAUACUCAAAAUAACCUUGUGUUGAGUCUCUAAGUUUGACUUUGUUUAUUGUAGAUAUAUAUAAUUGGGCUGGUGAACUUCUUCAACACUAUGCAUGCAGUUAGGGGAGGCUGGGUUGGGCAAACAUUUGCUCUUUCUAAGAGCAAUGAUUAUGGAGGGAGGAAGUCACGCAUUCGGCGUUCAAAAGAGGAGAGGAAGGCAAUGGUCGAGUCUUUUAUAAAGAAGUAUUCUCUUGAUACUUCCUUUUGCUUUAAUUCUUCUACUAAGUGUGGUUGAUGUUAAUCUAAUUUACUAGUAACUACAGACAUCCAAUUAUUCUUUGUUUUUUUAAUUUGCAUAUCCACAAUAUGAACUGAAGUCCCUGUUCAAAAUAAAAUGUUUUCUUUACUGAUAUUUUAUUUUUCCUCUUCUAGUUCAGCCAAUUGGCUGUGAUAUUGAUAGUUUAACAAGCACAGUGGUGUGGGAAAUGUUACUUUGGAUCUUUCAUGGACGUGCUUUGACCUAAGAACUAGCUUGUUGAAUAUUACUAAUGAUCUUGUAGAAUGCACCUCUAUCAUAGACUGAUAGAAGUAAAUACCUGUUGGAAGUUUAGAAUGUUGUAUUAUGCUAAAUAACCCGUGAUUAUAAAUGUUGAUGAAAGUCUUUACAUAUGAAGUUUCAACAGACUUUUAGCCAGCACUUCUAUUUCAAAAUAUAACCUAACUAAAAUAGAGUUGGACAGUUUUUUAUACUAUAUCUUAUUUGAUUUUGUACUCUAUUUGUUUGCUGAGAACAUCAUGAUUUUGAAUCCUGUCCUUUUCUCUACUUUAUGAAUCACAUUUCUCUUAUUUUCUCUUCGUUUUUCCCACUUUUGAACUGAAUCCAUCAGCAUGACCAGCUUUUGACUUACUAUUGACAAGUGACACCUUCAAUGUUUAAAUAGCAUAUAACGACAUAGUUUUUGGUGUUACACGAUGGCGAACUGACUAGCAUGCUGCAUUCUGCUCAUUAGUUUGUAUCUAUACAUAGUUGCCACACACCGAUGAUGUAGGACAAAUUAUAAACUGAAUUCUAUAAUUGAUUGAUGUAUGAAUAAAUCUAGAAUCUAAACUUUACGCUUAAAUUUUAGGGUUUAGAGUUUCAACUCAGCAUCUAUUAACUCUAGAACAUAUCUCCAUGAUAUAAGAAAAGCUGAUAGUAAUUAUAUAUCUAGAAUAAUUUCCCAAGGAGCCUUACAUCAGUAUUUAUAAACAAAACAACCCUAAAUUGAACUUGGAGACUAAAAAGACAAAAAUAACCCAACUAACUAAAACAAUUGAUUAAAAUACCUUAACUAAUUAAAACAAGUCUAUAAUAAUGAAAUAAACAAAAUAAAUAAAUAAGGAAACUAAAUCAUCGAUCCCCAUCAUCUCCCCGACUGAGAAAAAUUCGACUAUGUCGAAAUGAAAUCUUCGUAACACGCCAACAAUGCCGGAUCAAUGCGAUGAAACUCGUCCCUACCAAUUCACGUACAGUCACUGUCAGGCUUGCCACGCCACUUAACCAAAAACUGGCGAUAUCCUCCGCGCCUAGUCGACACAAACCUCUCAUCCAAAACAUCCUCAAUACCAUCUGCUGUAGACUGUGAAGUAACAAGAGGAGGUGCAGGGAGAACAGGUAAAGGAGGAACAAGUACAGGCUCAACAAGGUUAUUAGAUGAAGAAGUAAAAGCUGGGGUCAACGGAGUAGAAGGUCCAUGAUAUGGAGUAAGAUCAGACACAUUAAAUACAGGACCAAUACCUAUAUUACUAGGAAGAUCCAACUCAUAAGCAUUAGCACUAACCUUCUUUUUAACACGAAAUGGACCCAUUCGCUUAGCAUGCACCUUUUUCCAUGUACCGGGAAGUAACCUCUCGACACGGUGUCGAAGCUUCACCUGAUCAUUCUCAUUGAACUCUUGGUACCUGUGAUGAACAUCUGCAGUAGACUUAUAAUUUUCAUUGCUCAAAUUAAUUUUUUGUCUUAUCUCAGCAUGCAAAUCAUGAAUAUGUUGUGCAAAAGUCUGAGCAGACUCACUAGAUCUAUAUACAGGUGGAAGAGGAACAAGGUCAAUAGGUUUUCUAGGCUGAUAACCAGUGUAAAUUUGAAAAGGACUCGCCCCAGUAGAGCGAUUAACCGAACUAUUAUAAGCAAACUCAGCCAUAGGCAAAACUCUAUCCCAACUAGACACGUGAUCUCCUAUAAGGCAUCUCACCAAACCACCUAGACUCUUAUUAACUACCUCAGUUUGAUCAUCAGUCUGUGGGUGAUAGGCAGUGGAAAACUUAAGUUUGGUAUUUAGUUUCUUCCAUAGGGUUUUCCAAAAAUAACUCAUGAAUUUAAAUCCCUAUCAGAAACUAUAGAUAAAGGCAUACCACGUAGCCUCACAACCUCACUAAAGAAAAUUGAUGCAAUGUGUGAAGCAUCAUCAGUUUUGCUGCAUGGAAUAAAAUGUGCCAUUUUAGAAAAACGGCCCACAACAUCAAAAAUAGAAUCAUGACCUCUAGGAGUCCGCAGUAACCCCAAGACAAAAUCCAUGCUAAUAUCCUUCCUAGGAGCAUGGGGUACCGGCAAAGGCAUAUAUAACCCCGUGUUUUGCUUCCUACCCUUAGUGGUUUGACACGUGCGACACUCGGAAACAAUACGAGCUACAUCCCUCUUGAGGCACAGUCAAAAGAACCUAUCCUCCACAAUCACAAUGGUCUUAUUACGACCAAAAUGGCCUGCGAUCCUUCCCGCGUGCAACUCCCAAACUAGAUGGUCACGCAUAGACGUGCUAGGAAUACACAAACGGGUGCCCUUAAAAAGAUAUCCAUCAUGGAUACGAAAGUCGCCUGAGGGUGGUCCAUUAGGAUUCUGUAGGGCACUAUAUGUCUCUCUAAAGUCAGGACAAGAAGGAUACUCAUGGAUAAUACGCUCAAACCCAAUAACCUUCACACUCAAAGUGUUAAGGAGAAUAGAUAUCCUACUCAACGCAUCAACGGUUUUGUUCUCUACCCCUCGACAAUGCUUUAGGAUAAAAGAAUAAUCCUAAAGAAACUCAACCCACUUAGCGUGUCGAUGACCCACUUCUGGGAGUUUAUAUACUGAAGUGCCUGAUGAUCGGAGUAUAGCACAAACUCCUUAGGCAACAAAUAGUGUCUCCAAUACCUAAGUGCCUGAACUACAACAUAAAACUCUCUAUCAUAGGUAGAAUACCUUUGUCGUGCCUCAUUUAGUUUCUCACUAAAGAAUGCAACAUGAUGACCCUCUUGACUAAGUACUCCCCCUAUUCCUACGUCGGAAGCGUCACAUGCUAUCUCAAAAACCUUGUUAAAAUCUGGUAGCGCGAGGACAGGUGCCUGCGUCAACUUGUCCUUAAUCUCCACAAAGGCUUUUGCAGUCGAUUUAGACCAAACAAACUCCCCUUUCUUUAAGCAAUCGGUGACAGGAGCCAUAAUGGUACUAAAUUCCCUAAUGAACCUCCUGUAAAAAGUAGUAAGUCCAUGAAAGCUUCGAGCUUCAUGUAUAUUAGAAGGUUCUGGCCACUCUUUAAUACCUUUGACCUUUUCAGGGUCAGCAGAAACCCCAUUUUUGGAGACAACAAACCCGAGAAAUAUGACGGAUUCUUACACGAAGGAACACUUUUUCAAAUUAAUAUAAAGUUUUUCACACUGGAGAGCGGAUAGAAUUUGGCGCAAGUGAAGUAAGUGUUCCUUUCGGGUGUGACUAUAAAUGAGGAUGUCAUCAAAAUAGACCACUAAAAACUUGCCAAUAAAAGACCGCAACACCCGAUUCAUAAUUCUCAUAAAGGUGCUAGGUGCAUUGGUUAGACCAAAGGGUAGGACUAACCAUUCAUAAAGGCUUUCACUACUCUUAAAGAUAGUUUUCCAUUUGUCUCCUUCGCGGAUGCGGACUUGGUGGUAUCCACUCCGUAGAUCUAUUUUGGUGUACACACGAGCUUCGCUCAUCAUGUCUAACAUGUCAUCAAGCCUAGGUAUAGGAAGAAACCUAUACUUAACUGUAAUUUUAUUGAUAGCUCGACUAUCACAACACAUCCUCAAACUUCCAUCAGCCUUAAAGCUUGUACCGCACAAGGACUAAGACUCUCGCGCACAAAACCCUUGCUCAACAAAUCACCUACUUGUUUUCGCAUCUCCUCUUGUUCCUUGGGGUUCAUCCUAUAAUGGGGUAGGUUAGGUAAAGAAGACCCCGGUACAAGGUCAAUAGCAUGUUGGAUAUCCCUAAGAGGUGGUAAUCCGCUAGGCAAUUCACUAGGCAUCACAUCAGCAAACUCAUGGAGAAUCUACCUAACAUAACUAGAUUCAACAUUGCUACUAUUCUCAGGAACGUCCCUAACCUCUCUAGCCAAAACAACGUACACAACCUUCUCCUCAUUCACACUUUUCUCAAAGACCUUUUGACCCAGGAUAUGGAGAUAUUUGGAUUCUUGUGUAGGCGUAUUAUUUUCUUUUGGUUGACCCUUGGGAGACACUCGUGGUUUCACAGGCGCUGAAGUAAUCUUCUGUCGCUUGUGUGUGAACACAUAAGUAUUCGAUUUCCCAUAAUGGGUCACAUCAAGAUCAUAUAGCCAAGGUCGCCCUAAAAGAAUGUGUGCAACAUCCAUAGGAAGGACAUCACACCAAACUUUUUCCUCAUAUCCCUUAAGGUGGAUCGGCACUAAACACGUAUGUGUCACAGUAAUAGAUGUCUUGUUGACCCAAGAAACAUUAUAAGGCUGGGGGUGUGGUUCCGCCUUUAACUUCAAUCGUUCCACAGCUAUCUUGGUCCAUCAAUGAUUAGCUUGGAGGAGAUUCCUCCACCUCUGCUAUAUGUUUGAAAUAUGUCGGUUCUCUUCCAAUCUUCUUCCUUGUUAGGACUAACGAAGUUGCAACUCAUAACGUUUGAGGAUUGAUCAACUUAUUCAAGGUGUGCAUUCGCUUCUUCAUCCUCCACUUCACCUUCCCUCGCCUCAUUUUCCUCACCAUGCCCUUCAUUAACCACUCCCACUCGGUGUUUGUUAGGACAUUCAAAGAACUUGUGGCCAAGCUCUUUACAGGAGAAACACCUAUCCCUGCCAGUAGGUUUGGGUACUGGAGUACCCUUCCCUAGUCUAGGGUCCCGAUUUGGUCCACUCACGGUGUUAUUAGCCCUAAAAUUAUCUUGAGGUGUGGAAAAAGACCGGCCUUGUGGGGCAUGACGUCCAGUAAAUUGGCCUGAAUAAGGGGUCACUCUUCGAAAAGAGGAUCUUUUCACAUUGUAUUCCUGAUCUAAGGCGGCCUGGUAAGCAUCAUCUAGGCAAGUGAGUUGGGUUGGGAAAAUUUGGAAUUUAAUAUCAUCUCUCAACCCAUCCUUAAACCUAAUGAUGGUCAAUCUCGUCUCCUCAACUAGCUCACAACGCUCCAUUAGCUCCCUAUACCUACCAACAUAUUCAGAGACAGACAGAUUGCCUUGCUUCAGAUUUGUCAAUUGUUCAAGCAUCCUAUCCUUGUGACCAGUGGGUACGUGCUUUCAUUUCUGCCCAGUGCCUAAUAGGUGGAUCCCUCAAACGCUUGAUGUCUCUCUUAACACUAGCCUAAUACAAACUUGCUUGUUUAAUUAAUUUCAUUUUGGCAAAGUGAAUUCUACGCUCAUCGGACAUGCCGUACCAAUCGAAAAAUUUAUCCAUACUGGACAACCAAUCAAGGAAAAUAUUAGGAUCAGACCUACCAUCAAACUCAGGUGCAUCGACCUUAAUUUUUCUAGUGUCAUCAUCAUACCCUCGGCCAUCAGGGUCGACAUUCCUAGGUCCACGGUACCCAUAAUCUCUAUUACGUUCACCAUACCCGAUGCCUCGAUGUCUACGGUCUUGUCUCUCGGGGUAAUCAAUAUUUUGAGGCUCAAGGUUUUGAUACUCAAUAUUUCUAGGCUCAAGAUGGUCCCUUUGCCUAUUCAGCUCAGCCUCUCCCUCAGGUAUAUCUUAAGUAAUGGGAAUGUCAUCAUUUCCCGCAUUUUUCCCUAUAGGCUCAGGUAAAUGUUGUGUUCGUUGCUCAACAACUCGAACCCUCCCAGUUAACAUGAUAAGUUCCUCAGACCUAUCAUCCAUGCGGGUUUCUAAAUUAGCCAUACGAUUUUCCAUACUAGCCAUUUUAAUAAGUAGGAGGUCUAGUUUAUCGUUCAUUGUUUGGCCAUAUUGGGUUUCACUACGGGUCAUCAUGAUGUACAAAUGCAAUACUGAGAUAAUUAAUUGUAGCAAUUAAAUUAUAACCUACGGCAAAUGCAAUCGCAGUUUCCAAAAUAUCAACAAUCACGACUAACUGAUGUCCCACUAGUAUGAAUAAUGUGCAGUGCAAGGGAAUAAAACCAAACCCGUUUUGGAAAAUUUUAGUACUAUGCAACGGGUAAAGAAAAUUCAAGUAAUUGAAGUAUUUACCCUAUAUUUUGUAAAAAAAUUUAAAUGCAGCUUUUGUACUAUUUUUUUGAGUCUAACUGAUUAUAAAGUGUGAAACAGGAUGAAAGGUGUUAAUGUUAAAAGUUAGGGUUUGUUUGUGGAAGAAGAAGGGGUUAUAACGUAAGUUAACAAAUUUAGGCUAAUACUAAAGGAAGAAAAGGAAACUGGGAAUAAUGACCAAAGUGUAAUUCGGGCAAGGUAAAUAUGGUUGUGGUUUCACGAAUUAGAAAAGUAGCGUAUGAAAUAGGAAAGGCCAGGGUUACCUCCUUUGUUCCCGAACACUCAUAGCAGCGACGACGAGGAUGGCGACUGUAAAGCCCCCAAAUCCGGGUACUUGAAACCCGAACUCAGUGCAUUACGAUACCAUUUCUAUGAGCGGAAUUAAUAAUAUUAUCAUAAAUAUCAAACUUAAUUUAUAUAUCAGAGUUUUCUAAAUCCCAGGUACGCGACCUUAAAACAUUUCAUUACAUGAUAGAUAAUAAAUAUAAUCAUCUUAUUUAAGUCUAGCUAUUACAUAAGAUAACACAAACUUAUUCGGGUAGCUUUCCUCUCCUUUUGUUCUUGGCAGAGCCCUCUGGUCGAUCAUACUAAACUGAAAACAUUUAAAUUAAGCAAGGAUGAGCAUUUGAGUGCCCAGCAAGUAAUAACAAUUAUAAAUAUUAGCUGAAAUGAUUAAAUGUUUUCUUUGUACUUCCCUUCUACAACAAAUCAAAAGUUGUGAAGUAAUCUGAACCGAUAAUAAUAACAUAACAACUCUCUAUCAAAUUUCUGAAACAGCGUACUGACUAUAAGUAGGGUUAAGGUGACAUACUAUGAAUAUUGUUUUUCAUUUUCGAAUGGGUUUAACAGAACUUCAUCUGCAAACCGUCAUAACUUACGGACACGAGGGUGAUCUGCCCAAUGUGCCCUGUAUUGAUCAAUACUACAUGCAAGAACGAUAUUAUCGUUCACUCUGGCCGCCUUGGGCGCAUAAAAAUUUUUCCAUGUUCGGGAUGUUCAUGCAUAGUCUAGAAUCCAAACCAAAGCAAUUUGAUUGGAUACAAAAAGGUUUUAUCUUAUUCAAUGAUAUUUCUGAAUCUGUGUCUAGCUGGGGCAAAUAGCUUAGACGUAUAUAUAUAUAUAUAUAUAUAUAUAUAUAUAUCAACAUGUGAUUGAAUACAAUGAUCAUCCAUCCAAGUGGGGACACUUGUAUAACCAUAUUAACGAAUAGAAUAUAUAUCGGAAUUACCAUAUACUAACAUGUUGAUGAACAAUGAUCGGAUAUAGAAUAUAUCAUAAUAGGGUUAAUAAUUUAGGAUAAUAAUAAUAAAAUUCUGAAACUUCUUACUCAUGUCCAUUGCAUAAAGGAAAUGCAAAGGUAGGAUACUUGUCUGGUCUGCUGCUUACAAUACGUAACUUAGUUUUAUCUUUUAUACCAUGACCUAUCAUUAAUAAGAUCAUUCGAUCGAUUAGAAUAACAUACUAUAACACAUAGCACCGCUUAUUGCAGUCAGCACAUAACCUAAUCACAUUGGCACACAUGUUUCACAGUCAUUAAAUCACAAAUAAACACGUACAGUCAAACUAUCUAAGUCCGUAUCAAUUUCAAAGACAUGUCGGUGUACCGACGGCGUAUCGGGUACUUAUCGAGUCUAAAACUCUAUUCAAUACUCUUAAUAUUAUUCUGGACAACCUAAGUAUCAGUCAUAUUAUUUUUCAUAGCCUCAUAAUAAUUUUCAAAUAAUUAUUAUAAUUUAUCAUUAAUUUUCAAACACCGGAAUCAUUAUAAAAUGAUUUAAACAUCAAAUAAUUCUAUCAUCAAUAAUAUUUAAAUAAUAUCAAACUAUUAAUGAAACCAUUGCAAAAUAUUAAAGUUAUUUAUAAUAACUCAAAAUAUUUUUAAAACAUUUAUAUUACCCUCAAAUGAUUUUUAAAACAUUUAAAAUUAUUUUUAAAUAACUACCAUUAAUAUUAAAAUAUUAAUGUACUAUUCCUCAAAAUAUUAAAAGUCAUUAAGUAUAACUUAAAAAUAUUUUAAUUCAUUUAUAUCCUUUUUAAAUGAUUUUUAAAUCAAUAAAAUCAUUUUUAAACUAUUUAUUUAAUAUAAUAAUUAAAUAAAUUAAAUACCAUUAAUAUUCCAAAAAUAAUAAAUAUUAAUGAAAUAUAUUCAAAAUAAUUAAAAACUCAUUUUUAGACUUUAAAAUAAUUUUUUUAGAAAUUUAUUUUGUAUUUUUAAUAAUUAAAAACUAUUUUUCUCUAUUUAUUAAAUAAAAAUAAUAAUUUUCAUAAAUAAACUGUUGCUAAAGGGCCCUAUAACGACAAGACCGUCGCUAUAGGUGUUCUUCACCGAACCCAGAUAUUCAAAUCCAGUUAACAGGUUGCUAGGUUUGACCAAGGUUUAAUCUAUGCUCUAGUUAUGUUCUGGGCUUCCAAUUGUGUUAAUUAUGUAGUAUAAGUGUAAUACUACAAUUACCAAUCAAUAUCAUGGUCAAAACAUAAUACCACAGAAAGAUCUAAGCUACAGAAAAUGAUGUCAGAGCUGUUCUUGAGUUUCUGGGUUGCCCAGAAACUCAAGCAGUUUCAAGGGUCCUACUUUCGAUCUUUAUAACUUUCACUUCAGAUCUAAUUUGUGUUCUUUAAAGCUUCAAACUUGUAGUCGAGAUGUCAAAGGACAACUCUAUAACAACAUAGUAGCCUAACAACAUUACCAACUCAAGAUUUGAGCGGUCAAUGUACAGGUCAGACACUGUUCUUCACGUUUUCUGGGUUUUCCAGAUUUCGUCAAGAACAGUUGGUCAAUGAUACUUUGACCAACAAUAACUUUGAUUCUAUGUGCAUUCUGGGUAAACUAAAGGCUUAAUUAUGUACUCCUUAUACCAGACUACAAGAAUCAAACAACAACAUAACUAAAACGCUAAUAUACUGCAAGAUCAAAGGCUCAGAAUAUGUUGUCAGACGAGAUCUGGGUUUCUGGGUUGCCCAGAAACUCAGUCUCCAUGACCGGUCAACGCAGUUUGACUGCUUAUAAGUUAUGGUCUAGACAUGAUACGACUCUGUUUCAAGUUGCAGAACAAAGACCAAAUAACACACUACAAGUACAACCAUUUAAACAACCAAAACUAUAAACAGGUAAAGAUCUAUGGGGUCUGACAUUUGGUUGUCAGACCACAUAUUUUCAGUUUUCCAGAUUUUUAAAAACUUCUAUUUUGAGCAUCUAGAUGUUAUGGAUCUGGGAUAUUAUAACUCAGAUCACUAAUAUAUACUACAUACUACAUAUUUAAACAUAAAAUCACAUCUAACAUCAAAUCUAAGGAUUUCUAGAAUUAGGGUUUAUACCUCAUGAAUGCUAAAUUUUUGAAUUUGAUCCUGGAUGUUUGAUCCUGGCAAGCUAACACGUGAUCUUGGCUUAGCUUAUUACUCACUCUCACUCUACAAUUUCGGAUGGGAGAGAGAGAGAGAAGGUUUGGCUAGCUUGAAAAGUAAAAGUAAGUGAAUUUUGCUUACUUUUUAACUUUGAUCUUAGGUUCAAUGUAUUUAUAGGAUGCUAGAUGGCUGGUGAUUGAUGAUUAAAGUGGGUUUUACUAGACCACAUGUCUAUCUAGAGUUGUUCACCAACUCCCUACUAGGGUUAGAUCUACACUCCACCUUAUUAAAGUAAUCAAAAGGGUAGUUUGGUCAUUUGACUUAUAAAGUGCAUGGCAAUUUGGUAACUUCUCACACCUAUUAGGUUUUUAACCCUAAGGGUUUGACCCUAGGGUUUCAUAAGCUCUAAAUUUAGAAUUGUGUAUUAAGGGCAAAUAUGGAAAUCUUAGUUUCUAAAAUGUUGAUUAGGGUUCCCUAAUUACACUAAAUUUCCUAGUCAUCUAGGGUUUGUAAAUUAGCCUUAUAAUAUAUUAAUUACUACUAAUCUUGCUAAAUUAAACCUAGGGUUUAUAACUUAGCAAUUAGGGUUCUAAUUUAGUAAUUAGGGUUUCUAGAUAUCAAUUAGAGUUUACCUAACUGACAGUAAACAUAAUGAGGGUCAUUAAUUACAUAACCCACAACUUAACAAAUCUUACAGUUAUAACUAACUUUGUACUAUAGUUAUCAGUAAUACUAGGGUUUGUACUGUUCUACUAUAACUGAUCUAUAAAUUAACAUUCCACACAUCAGGCAUAUCUAUAUCACUGAAAUAUAAAUAAUAUUAUAUUAGUAUUCUCAUCCCUUAUUCAAAAUCCAGGCUUAGGGUUUUGAAUUCAUAUCUGACAUAACCUUCAUACAUACUGUCAUUAAUUAAGCUAAAAAUAAUUAACCUAACCAAUAUAAUAAAAUACAUAUCAUAAGAAUCCUAAUAAUCAUAUCAUAUAUACCAUAAUCAUAUAUUCAUGGAAAAUAAAUAUUAAAUAUUUUUAUUACAAAAUUAAUUUAUUAUAAGAAUAUAAUUUAUAACUAUCAAUAAGUCUAAUAAGAAAUUAUUUACAUCUAAUAAAUAAAUUUAUCUAUCACAUAGAUACAUAUACUUUACAUGCACAUAUUCCCACCUUUAUAUAUAUAUAUAUAUAUAUAUAUAUAUAUAUAUAUAUAUAUAUAUAUAAAUUAAAUCGCAAAAUUUCUUAUUAAAAAAAUAUUGGGUUAUUACAGCGACGACGAGAGAUCUCAGCGAUGGCGGCGACGGCAACA